CUGAGUCACUACAGAGGAAACAAUGAGCUCAACACAGAAGGACCAACAUGGAGCGAGAAGUCAGUGCUCUCAGGAGGCCGACAAACCUCAAAGAAGAAAGGGAGAGAAAACAUACACCUGUGACGAGUGUGGGAAAGAUUUUACUGGGAAGGCUGAACUAAAACGUCAUCAGUUCAUCCACACUGGAGAGAGACCGUUCAGCUGUGACUUGUGUGGAAAGACUUUUUCCUCGAAGGGUUACCUAAGACAACACCAACUCAUCCACAGUGGAGUUAAAACGUACAAAUGUGAUCAGUGUGGUAGAGCUUUUACUCAAAGUAGCCACUUAAAGAGUCAUCUAGUUACCCACUCUGGAAUUAAGGCAUACAGCUGUGACAUUUGUGGAAAAACAUUCGGCCGGAUAGGGCACCGAAAUAGACACCUACGCAUUCACACCGGACAUGAUGUGUACUGCUGUGAACAGUGUGGCAAACAGUUUACAACACAUGGACAGUUACAACAACACGUUUACCCACACUGAGGAGAGACCUUAUAAAUGUGACCUGUGUGAGAAGACUUUUAAAGCUCCACGUUACCUGAGACGACACCAACAGAUCCACACCAGAAAGAGACUCUACAAGUGCAGUUACUGUGAGAAGCAGAGCGACACAGAUGGAUCCAGUUCUCAACCCUGUCGUCACUGUGGGAAAGAGUUUAUCUGUGACCUUUGUGGAAAAACUUUCAGUGAACAAUACACCCUAAAAAUACAUCAACGUAGACACACUGGAGACAAACUGAAAUACUGCAAAGAAUGUGGGAGAAGCUUCAUCACAUCAGGUGGAUUAAAAAAACAUGAACUGAUUCACAGUGGGGUUAAAA